CACGUAGGGGGCGAGCGUUGUCCGGAAUCAUUGGGCGUAAAGAGCGUGUAGGCGGCCCGGUAAGUCCGCUGUGAAAGUCGGGGGCUCAACCCUCGAAUGCCGGUGGAUACUGUCGGGCUAGAGUGCGGAAGAGGCGAGUGGAAUUCCUGGUGUAGCGGUGAAAUGCGCAGAUAUCAGGAGGAACACCGAUGGCGAAGGCAGGUCACUGGGCCGCAACUGACGCGUGAGGAGCGAAAGCAUGGGGAGCGAACAGG
rnacentral:rRNA from 1 species